GUACCCUUUUAAGAUUGAAAUAAUGCUUUAAAGAGGCUAACACAGAAGGGUAAAAUAAUUUGCUGUAAAACUAAGAGACAAGAUUGCAAAGCUCCUCUUGAAAACUGUCCACUAUGGAU